CCGUCUCGGCCGCACGGCGUACAUCGGCAGGCAGACCGCGUUUGCGAACAGUGAUAUCACUAGGAAAACUCCAUAACAGCUUCUCCGACCCAUUUCUUUGCCGACUGUCAAUCAAAUACUUGUGACAAAAAUCCUCAACACUCAUUAUGUAAGUGUAACACGACGAAACAAGAAUCACUAAGUAACUGAACCUGUACUUUGGGAAAUAUCGUACGAAACAGCUCAAGGUCCUGGUAUUAAGGUGAAUUCAGUCUUUGCAGCAACGGCAGCGCCACGUCGGCGAGGGCCCUCCAUGAGCUGCCGCGGGCGCAGCGUCCGCACGAGCAGGGCUCCGGA